rnacentral:rRNA from 1 species
AUUGAACGCUGGCGGCAUGCCUUACACAUGCAAGUCGAACGGCGGCACGGGUGCUUGCACCUGGUGGCGAGUGGCGAACGGGUGAGUAAUACAUCGGAACAUGUCCUGUAGUGGGGGAUAGCCCGGCGAAAGCCGGAUUAAUACCGCAUACGAUCUACGGAUGAAAGCGGGGGACCUUCUGGCCUCGCGCUAUAGGGUUGGCCGAUGGCUGAUUAGAUAGUUGGGGGGGUAAAGGCAUACCAAGGCGACGAUCAGUAGCUGGUCCGAGAGGACGACCAGCCACACUGGGACGGGAACACGGCCCAGACUCCUACGGUAGGCAGCAGUGGGGAAUUUUGGACAAUGGGCGAAAACCUAAUCCAACAAUGCCGCGUGGGGGAAGAAAGCCUUCGGGUUGUAAAGCACUUUUGUCCGGAAAGAAAUGCUUGGCCCUAAGACGGUCGGGGGAUGACGGUACCGGAAGAAUAAGCAACGGCUAACUACGUG